rnacentral:rRNA from 1 species
GUGAGGAAUAUUGGUCAAUGGACGAGAGUCUGAACCAGCCAAGUAGCGUGAAGGAUGACUGCCCUAUGGGUUGUAAACUUCUUUUAUAAGGGAAUAAAGUGAGGGACGUGUCCCUUUUUGUAUGUACCUUAUGAAUAAGGAUCGGCUAACUCCGUGCCAGCAGCCGCGGUAAUACGGAGGAUCCAAGCGUUAUCCGGAUUUAUUGGGUUUAAAGGGAGCGUAGGUUGACAUAUAAGUCAGCUGUGAAAGUUUACGGCUCAACCGUGAAAUUGCAGUUGAUACUGUAUGUCUUGAGUGUACAAGAGGUGGGCGGAAUUCGUGGUGUAGCGGUGAAAUGCUUAGAUAUCACGAAGAACUCCAAUUGCGAAGGCAGCUCACUGGGGUACAACUGACACUGAGGCUCGAAAGUGUGGGUAUCAAACAGGAUUAGAAACCCCAGUAGUCC